rnacentral:rRNA from 1 species
GAGGAAUAUUGGUCAAUGGACGGAAGUCUGAACCAGCCAAGUAGCGUGCAGGAAGACGGCCCUAUGGGUUGUAAACUGCUUUUAUACGAGAAUAAUUUGAUGCACGUGUGCGUUAUUGCAUGUAUCGUAUGAAUAAGGACCGGCUAAUUCCGUGCCAGCAGCCGCGGUAAUACGGAAGGUCCAGGCGUUAUCCGGAUUUAUUGGGUUUAAAGGGAGUGUAGGCGGUUUGUUAAGCGUGUUGUGGAAUUUAGGUGCUCAACAUUUAACUUGCAGCGCGAACUGUCAGACUUGAGUACACGCAACGUAUGCGGAAUUCAUGGUGUAGCGGUGAAAUGCUUAGAUAUCAUGAAGAACUCCGAUUGCGAAGGCAGCAUACGGGAGUGUAACUGACGCUUAAGCUCGAAGGUGCGGGUAUCGAACAGGAUUAGAUACCCUGGUAGUCCGCACAGUAAACGAUGGAUGCCCGCUGUUAGCGCCUGGCGUUAGCGGCUAAGCGAAAGCAUUAAGCAUCCCACCUGGGGAGUACGCCGGCAACGGUG